GGUUGGUUGGCUCAGUGGUUAGAGCUUACGUCUCGUAGCCGAAAGCUCGUGUGAUCGAGUCUCGCUAGAGGCUG
rnacentral:tRNA from 1 species